AAUAAAAAUAUCUUUGGUUGGGGCAACCACGAAGAAAAAAAAACCUUCGUAAAAACAAGAAAUUAACAAAUUUAAAAUUUUCUUAAAAAGAUCCAGAAAAUACUGAUCAAAGAAAAAAGUUACCGCAGGGAUAACAGCGUUAUUCUCUUUAAGAGUUCAUAUUGACAAGAGAGUUUGCGACCUCGAUGUUGGACCGGGGCACCCCUGGGGUGCAACAGCCCCUAAAGGUAGGUCUGUUCGACCUAUAAAGCCCUACGUGAUCUGAGUUCAGACCGACGCAAGUCAGGUCAGUUUCUAUCUA
rnacentral:rRNA from 1 species